rnacentral:rRNA from 1 species
CAGUAGCCGCGGUAAUACGGAAGGUCCAGGCGUUAUCCGGAUUUAUUGGGUUUAAAGGGAGUGUAGGCGGUCUGUUAAGCGUGUUGUGAAAUUUAGGUGCUCAACAUCUAACUUGCAGCGCGAACUGGCGGACUUGAGUGCACGCAACGUAUGCGGAAUUCAUGGUGUAGCGGUGAAAUGCUUAGAUAUCACGACGAACUCCGAUUGCGAAGGCAGCGUACGGGAGUGUUACUGACGCUUAAGCUCGAAGGUGCGGGUAUCGAACAGGAUUAGAGACCCGUGUAGUCCCUGUCUCUUAUAC